GGAGAUGGCGACCGGCGCACGGGUGAGUAACACGUAUCCAACCUGCCGAUAACUCGGGGAUAGCCUUUCGAAAGAAAGAUUAAUACCCGAUGGUAUAAUCAGACCGCAUGGUUUGAUUAUUAAAGAAUUUCGGUUAUCGAUGGGGAUGCGUUCCAUUAGGCAGUUGGUGAGGUAACGGCUCACCAAACCUUCGAUGGAUAGGGGUUCUGAGAGGAAGGUCCCCCACAUUGGAACUGAGACACGGUCCAA
rnacentral:rRNA from 1 species